GACGAACGCUGGCGGCGUGCUUGACACAUGCAAGUCGAACGGAAAGGCCUGCUUUCCCUUGUGGAUUGCGGGUACUCGAGUGGCGAACGGGUGAGUAACACGUGAGUGAUCUGCCCCCAACUUGGGUAUAAGCCUGGGAAACUGGGUCUAAUUCCCGAUAGGACUGCAGGGUGGUGCCUGUGGUGGAAAACGAUUUUCUAGUGGUUGGGGAUGAGCUCGCGGCCUAUCAGCUUGUUGGUGGGGUAAUGGCCUACCAAGGCGGCGACGGGUAGCCGGCCUGGGAGGGUGGACGGGCACAUUGGGACUGAGACACGGCCCAGACUCCUACGGGAGGCAGGAGUGGGGAAUAUUGCACAAGGGGCGGAAGCCUGAUGCAGCGACGCCGCGUGGGGGAUGACGGCCUUCGGGUUGUAAACUCCUUUCGACCGCGAGGAAGCCACCUGGUUGGAAGGGUGGUGACGGUAGUGGUAGAAGAAGCACCGGCUAACUACGUG
rnacentral:rRNA from 1 species